ensembl:lncRNA
CUUUGCUCUGGAGCUGCCAUGUGAUCCUGGCAAGAAAAGACGCCAGCAGCUGGCGUCCAAUAAGAUAAGUCUUUAUGGUUGAUACUUAAGACUGAGCUAGCAAGUAAGAAAUCCUAGUCAUUGGCCAAGCAGCCAAUGUUACCUAAUAUAAGUCGCUGUUUGUUACUUGGGGACCUUAACGUGGUGGAGAGCGGAACUUGGGCAGCCUGGCAGAAAGUGCCCGCGUGCUGCAGGGCUUGGGCGACGUGGCGUUAAGACUUAUCAUUACACUCUUCUCUGGCUUUGUCCGUGGGGAUGUUCUCGAUUCCACGAGAGAGUAGACCAGAUAACCUUUGUGUUCCUUCUACUUCUGAUUUAUAUUCAUAUUUUAAAAUAGUAAAUUAAUAGAUUAGGUUAAUGUGUUCCAUUGGAAACAAAACCUGAGAAUUUGUUUUUGGUUUCUUCCCCAUUUUAUUUCUUUUUCUUUGAGGCAUGGUUUUUCUGCAUAGCUCUGGCUGUCCUGGAACUUGUUCUGUAGAUCAGGCUAGCCUUGAACUCAGAGGUCUAUCUGCCUCUGCCUCCUGAGUUCUGGAUUAAAGCCUUGGUUGGAAUGAAGGUGUUUUGUCUUUCUUCAUCCUGAGUUCUUAUGGCAGCUGUUUUCAGAACUCAGCUACCGGUCUCAAGGGACUGAUCUUUGAAGAGAACUUUCUAGUCUUGUGAAUAAGCUGCCUGGGAAGUAAGCCAUCUGAUUCCCAGCUGACAUUACCACAUAUCCACACCAAACCCAGCUAAAUUGCACAUUCUGGAAUAAAAUUUAUCUAUGACUACUGCUUUAAGCCUGCUGUGGCUGGUUUGGAACUCACUACUUAGAACAAACUGGCCUUGAAUUUAUGACAGUCCUGCUUCUGCCUCGGAAUGCUGAGUGCUGAGUGGUUUGGGAUUGCUCCUCCCCACACUCCUGGGCCUGCAUCCAGGGAAGCCUAGAAAAUGAAUGACUGGGAUCAGCUGCUAUCCACCGGGCUUGAUGUGUCGCUUCUUUUCUGGAGCCUGCCAUCUGACAGUCGAAGGAGAUUUAUCUCACCCUGAUUUUAAGUUGUGAUAUUUGCCACAGUUCUGCAUGCAGCUAGACUAUGAAAACAAUCCUGAGGAGCCCCAGGGUGUUUACAGGCAGGGCUCGCCAGACAGAACCUUAAGAUCUUCAACAUUGGUUACAUGCUUUAAGGACCCAUGAAAUCAAACUUCUGGGGUUUUGAACAAAGAGUUCUUCUAUGGACACAAAUUUGGUUUUCUUGUUUUUGUUGUUUUGUUUUGUUUUUCAAUACAGGCUUUGGAGCCUGUCCUGGACUAGCUCUUGUAGACCAGGCUGGUCUGGAACUCACAGCGAUCCGCCUGCUUCUGUUUCCCGAGUGCUGGGAUUAAAGGCGUGUGCCACCAAUGCCUGGCUUGUUUAAUUUUUUUCAUGGGACAUUUACCUGUCAACAAGUGGGAUUCGAUCUUUUCUAUGAUGUCUGAUGAGAAGGAGAGAGAGAAUUGCAGGUUCUUUCAUGCAUGGUGUCUGAUUUGAAGGGCGUGUUCCCCUUACUUCAUCUCCCUCAUUAUGGAAACCUGUUGCCCUAAGGACCUUGCCUGAAUCCCUCCUGAGCAGACUUGCUUCUUCAUGGCUGUUGUCUGCUUCCCAUGGGCAAAAAUUUUGUUAACUUUUCUGCCAUGUUAUGAAUAGGACUCCCUUCCUCCUCUUGCUAAAUCCCACCACUACCUUUCAAAGUCCCCAGGAAGCUUUCUGUAAGCCAAUAUCCUCUCAGCUUCAGUUGGCCAUCAGUGCCCAAACCAAUGUCACAUAUAUACACACAUAUAUGUAUUAUAUAUACAUAUGUCAAUUUCAUAUAUACAUGCAUACAUACAUACAUACAUAUAUACAUACAUACACAUACGUGACAGGUUUUGUUUCAGAAUACCCCACUUCCAGAAUCUGUUUGCUUCUCUUGUUAUGCUACAAAUUGUGCCCUAUGUUUAGUAACUCCACAGAGCCAUUUCCUCUCUACUCAGGACAUCAUGGAAGAAGAACUCAGGAAGGGCUGGGUGGACUGGCUUGAUCUCAUGAUCUCAGGUAGUUGAUACUUCAGUUCAAACUGCAGUCACCUGAAGGCUAACAAGGUCAGGCUGUGAAUUCCAGACCUUAUCUCAAUCAAUCAGCAACAGCUUGUGUGGCUACUUUUUCACAGCCUGUGACCCUAAAGAACAAUAUCUCUCUUUCUUCCUCCUUGCUUGUUUUACAUCAGGGUAAGCACUGGGGAUGGGUCCUAAGGCCUUGUGCCAGUUGCUGCUUAGCCUGGACCAUACUAGAGGGAUUCCAUCAGAGUCAUGAACGGUCUAUGUGUGGGAGAGACAAAAUGGAGAGAAAAUACGGAAGAUAAGCUUAGGGCCAUGGCACAGCUGUGGGCAUCAGAGGGAAAGAGUCACCUCCAGGCCAGUGGCUCUGUGUGCUGCAGAUAACGAGGGAUCUGGGGGCUGGUGUAGAAAGACCUGCACCCCGCAUAUUUCAAUGGCUUUUGGUGAUGGGGAGCUCCAGAUGUGUGUGGGAAGGUUUGACUCUUAGACUUUAUAAAAUGGGGAUGUACAGGGACUCAAGGCACUGAGUGUGGCUCCUCCCUCCCCAAAAUGAAUAUCCAGUAGCCAUUCCUCCACCACCACAAGAGAAUAAACACAAGGGGAGCGGAGAAUGAAGAGGCCAGGAAGGAGUCACUGUCUUCAAAGUUCCAGUCCAGGACACAAUGUGAUGGUUCCAAGCUCUCUGUCUUGCAGGCUAAAGAUGCAGAGUAUGUAUCUAACUGUGACACAGGCUUGCUCUGUCAGGACUGUCUUGGAAAAUCUGAGACGUUUGGUUGAAAACAUGAAAUAAAAGGAGGAGGACAUGACAACUCCUGAAGAAUGGAGAAGACUUUUAUUGUAGACAGAAGGGAGGAACUGGGCAGAGGGAAGAGUCCAGGAUGAACAUGGCUGGCAGAUGAAACCAGACCCUGAGAGGAAAGACAGGGAGGGAGAGCAGGAGAGGAGACUUCAACCACGAGAGGUGCCCAGGGCCAAGAGACCGAGAGACACGAAUAACCAAAAUGACUUAGGUAUAUUAAGAUCAGAC